rnacentral:lncRNA from 1 species
AGGGAACUGCCGCCCGGUUCGGUAACGGAUGUUGUUCGUGGAUCGCGAAUCGUGUUAUGUCGAUACCGUGAUGGGGUCUCUUAAUUAGCGCAUCGAUUCAGACUCGUUUGGGCAAUCUGAAGAUGUUUAGGGAUCAACAUUACCUUUGUGGCCUAUGGUUCGUGGAUGCACAUGCACAGGGAUCAAUAUAAGUACCUUUGUGCCCCAUGGUUCGUGGAUCACUGUGCAUGUGUUCUUCCGCGUCUUUGUUGUUAUUUUGGCUCCAUCUGUAUGAUCUAAUGAACCUUCCUUUGUUAUCAUUCUGUCUCUGUUACUCGAUGACUUGUUAUAGGUUGUUAAAUGCCUAUAUCUGUUUGUCGAAUUGUGU